AGAGUCAAGAGUUGAUGCAGAGUGAGCGGGCAGAGACAGUGAAGUCUGCAGUUAAAAUCCCUGGCCAGGGUCCUGGUCCCAUCCCAGUGGGCUUCCUGCCUGCCAGCCUGGGGGAGUGGCGUGGGCUGACCCCGACCAGACUGACCGGGCCUCAACAUCACCUGGGAAUCCUGGAAGGAAACAGGUUCCUGGGCCUUGCUCCAACCUAAGGAACCCGAAUCUGCAUAGCUCACAUGGCGCCGUAUUUCCAACGUUCAGAGCACAUUGGAAAGUUGGGAGGAAGGAUGAGGCUUGUGUUUUCACUCACAAACUCCCUCCAGAAGAUGAUAAUGAAAGUGUCUGACGCAUAAGGAAAUAAAUAAGAUGGUUAUGUGCCCAGCUCAAGGGCUAAGGUGUUGGUCAAGACCACACCCGAGGGGCUGCCAGUCACAGGGUGGGGUCCAAGCUCCUCACCAGACCCAACCUCCCCUGCUCUGCAACCUCAUCCUUCCCCUGUCUUUCCUGGGUUAAAUUUUACACUUAGUAACACUGAAACCAGGCAGUUUCACACCUCCGAGCCUGCAUCUAUGCUCAUCUCUUUACCUGAAACGUCUUCUCUCACCCCUCCCCCUCUGUCUGGCUAAUUCCUGCUCAUUCUCCAAGACCCAGUUCUCCGUGGUACCCCUUCUCACCCAACACACACCCCUCAAUCUAGCCUUUUCUGUGAGCAACCUACACCACCUUAUGCUGACCUGGUUGGGAGCACAUAUAUAGAAAGUUUGUGUGCCUGCCCCUCCCCAACUCCCCAGUUCCUCAAAAGUAGGGUCUGUGGUGCUAAAUUUUGUCUCUGCAGUCUCUGACAUAUCUAGGAGCUCAACAUAUAUCUGCUAAAUCAAACAGAAUCCAGAUGAACAAGAAUGCCCUCGACAUGUAGAUGUCACAAUUCAACAGCAUUCUAAGGGUUUGCUCGUGCUCAUGGGUAUCUUUAGGACAGGUGGCUUUUAAGGCCUCAAUAUAGAUGUAACACCCUACUCCCCUCGCACAAAAAACAAAAAAACAAAAAAAACUUUAACCCAAAUAAACUGAAAGUGAUUAUUUGCAUCUCAAAAGAUUGGGGGGAGGCAGGUUUUCUUUAAACAUUAAACCUUUGCUGGAACUUUCAGAAACUUUCCUUAUAGAUCAUUAACUUCUGGGGGAGGGUGGGAGCAGAAGCCGUGGAGUCUGAAUUCAGAGGUGCCUCUAUAAAAGAGGAAGCAAGGCAGAAAAUCUUGGAACCAGACAGAGCUGGGUUCAGAUUCUAGCUAUACUAGCUGUGUGGCCUUGGGCAAGCUACUUAACCUCUCUGCAGCUCGAUUUCUUUAUCACUAAAGUGGAGAUACACUAUACCUAUUUUGCAUGGUUGUUGUAAAGAUGCAAAAGAUCCUAUGUGGGGUACCUUAGCUCAUAGGAUGCCCCCAAUAAUAGUAACAGUGUUGCUGCUGUCAGGCUUAACACUGGGCAUGCAGGAGAAGAAGGAGUCUUGAGGGGCUUUUAACUUAGACGGCAGGAAUAAGAAAGCCAGGAAGGGCCAAGCCACUGUGCCAGCACAUUUUCAGUAUCACAGCACUUCAUGAUUUUUUUCACAAAUCUUUUGAUUUUUUUUUAAACUAAAUCUUUCCAUGUUGAACAGGCAGAUGCUGGCGACAGCACUGUGCAGUGUACUGGCAUGAGGGCCUGGACUCUAGGAGGCUGGACUACAGCUUACCCAGCUGUGGAUCCUGGGGCGUUCACUUACACUCAGUGUCUAUAGAAAGGAGACAAUAGGCCAGGCGUGGUGGCUCACACUUGUAAUCCCAGCACUUUGGGAGGCCCAGGCGGGCAGAUCAUGAGGUCAGGAGAUCGAUGCCAUCAAGGCUAACACGGUGAAACCCCAUCUAUACUAAAAAUACAAAAAAUUAGCCAGGCACGGUGGUGGGCACCUGUAUUCCCAGCUACUUGGGAGGCCGAGGCAGGAGAAUGGCGUGAACCUGGGAGGCGGAGCUUGCAGUGAGCCGAGAUAGCGCCACAGCACUCCAGCCUGGGUGAAAGAGCGAGACUCCGUCUCAAAAAAAAAAAAAAAAAAAAAAAAAGAAAAGGAGACAAUAGCCACUGCCUACUUCUUAAGGCUGAAAUACGAGAUAAUGAAUUUAAACUGCUUAGCCAAUGCCUGGUGCCAGUAUGCCCACUGCAAAUAGUGCAGGCACCACUCUGUGAAGCGAUCAAUACUAAAAAGCAAAAGCAGUCAAUGCUUUGUUAAAGGAACUUCUUGUUCUGGGAACAUGGUGAGUUUCGGGGAGGGAAGAGGCCACCCAGGACCCUGGAGACCACCUGUCACCAGAGCUGUGUAACUGCUACAGGAGAGGUGUCCCAAUCCAGACCACAAGAAAGGGUUCUUGCAUCUCUCGCAAGAAAGAAUUCAGGGCAAGGCUGGGCGUGGUGGCUCAUGCCUGUAAUCCCAAACUUUGGGAGGCCGAGGCAGGUGGAUCACUUGAGGCCAGGAGUUCGAGACCAUCCUGGGCAACAUGGUGAAACCCCAUCUCUACUAAAAAUACAAAAAGUAGCCAGGCGUGGUGGUGCAUGUCUAUAGCCCCAGCUACUCAGGAGGCUGAGGUGGGAGAAUCCAUCGCCCCACUGCCCUCCAGCCUGGGCAACAGAGCAAGACUCUGUCUCAAAAAAAAAAAAAAAAAAAAAAAAGCAAGGUGCGUUCACAGUGCAAAGCAAAAGCAAGUUUAGUAAGAAAGUAAAGUGGUGAAAGUACAGCUACUCCAUAGACAGAGGAGGGAGUUCUGGAAAGUACGAGGAGGAACGCAUCCACCCUGGGUACAAUACUCGCUUACACAGGAUAAAAAAGGAUCAUGGGGAGAUGUGCUGUGCUACAAGGGUUUGUGAUAAAGGAUUAAUUUUCUUAGUUACUAUAUUUUGCAAUAAUCGAUAUUAUUAACUUUAAAGCAUAAUUACAAAUGAGUCUGUUCUCAAGAUAUCAGGAUAUCAGGACACUCCUAAGUCUGGGUCUGUUUAGCAAACGUUAUUAAUUUGUUCUCUUAACCGUAAAUAUCUAGAAGCUGGGUAUAGCUAACUCACUGGGAAUGUGGCCCAGCAAGUCCCAGCCUCAUUUUCCUCGCCCUCACACAAGAUGGAGUCGCUCUGGUUCGAAGCCUCUGACGUAACCUUGGGCCUGUACUGUGACACAGAGGGUUUGCACUGGAUAAUCUCUCAAGCUCCUAGAUUGCCAAGACGCCAGUCCACUCACAGCUCCCCAGGCUCCGCUCUCCUGUUGCCCUGCCAGACGCCCCUUCCCCCACCUUGUGCAGAGUAACCCCCUCCUGACUCAAGAGGCAGCCCCUCUAGAAAACUUCCUUCCCCUCCUCCCCUGCCCCGGUACAUAUUGCGCGGCCCUUACUGUUGCUGUGUCUGUCCUGUCAUCUGGAGGUGCACAACUACCCCAUGCUUCACAGUGAAGCCAGUCGGCUGAAGGAAAGAUGAACGGGCACUUUCUCUUUGUAGAGAUUUCCGGAAUCUCCUGAGGCCACUUUUAUUGCUUCCCGUCUUUGUGAAAAAAUAGGCUUGGAAAUAGGUGAGGCUCGGUCACCCCCUCUGGGUGGAAGGAGAAAGCAAGCUCCGUCGGUUUGGGCCGCGGCUGCAGGGAAUGCCCCUGGUUGCGACCCCCGUCCCGCGCUGGGGAAAGUGAUCUGCUCGAGAGCCCCCAGGACCCUGAGAACCGGUCCCCACCCAAGGCGGCGGCGGGCAAUUCCGGCACCGCGGCAGACGGGAUGCGCGGAGCGCGUUCCCUCCGGGUUUCCCUCACGCCUCUGGAGAGCGGGAACCAACGACCUUGACCUCGGAGGAAACGGCUCUACGGAGCGAUGGACGGCCCCACAGAGAGGGCGGCCGGCUCCUCUGGAAAACUUGUCCACACAAAAGGCAUUCCUCAGCUUCCACCCCGAAAGGCGAGCCCUGGGUGUAGGGUUACCAGCGGCGCGCGGAGCCCGCCGAGAACGUGGUGCGCCCCCAGCUCCUGCCCGCGCUCCCCGGCCUCCGUGCGCCCCGCGCGCCUCCGCUCUUGCGCCCGCUUUCCCGCGGGGAAGGGGCCACCGCCCUGCGAGGCUGGCGGCCGCCCCGUCGUCCCCAAGCUCGGGGCCGCCCUGGACUUCCAUCCCGCGCCUCUGACGGCCGGGGACACUCGCUCCCUGGGCCGCGGCUCAGGAGAGGCGGCCCCGCGGGGCUCCGGGCGGGGUGGGAGGCCGAGGCCCGGCUCCUCCAGCCCCUCCCGCGGCCCCACCUCUCCGCGCUCGGCUCCCUCUGCCCAGCGCGGGCCGGGAAGGCGCGGGCUUGGCCGCUCUUCCCCUCCACGGCAAAGCCGUGAACGGACAGCUGAUGCCACUUCCUUCCCUGCCAGCGCCCUCCCUGCCCGACCCCGCUUCCCGUCCUCUCGCCGGGAGGGAGUGCGGCCCGUGGGGCGCUGCGCCGGCCAGACCCACCCGGGGCCCGGGGGCUGCCAGCAGAGCCGGGAGCUGGCCCGGCCUCGGCGCCGUCCCGGACCCCCAGUCGGCCGCGCCCCGAGGGGCGAGGCCUGCGGGCCGCACUCCCUCCGGCCCCGGAUUCGGGGCUGGAAGUCCCUCCCCGAACCCAGCAGCUGGCCUGGGAGGGAGAAGGGGCUGGAGAGGGCCUGGCCUCUCCGAGGGAUGGAGGGGACAGAGGCGGCGGCGGCCAAACCCGCGGGCGGCAGCCCCCAGUGAGUAUAGAGGAGGCAGCGCCGGGCCGGCCGGGCGGGGGUGGCGGACCGGCGGGGCGGAGGAGCGGGGAGCCCAGGUCGCCCCGGCCACUGGGAAGCGGGCCUCCCACGGGCUCGGAGCUGGAAGGGUCGUGGGGAGGCCCGCCCUUCACGUCCAUCUUCGUUUGGCCCCUCUGAGUUAGGGGAAAUACAUCACAGUGCUUGGGCCAUAGAACCAGGCAGCUCCGAGCUGACCGAUCUUCCCGAAAGCCCGUGCCCAGGGGACUCCAGUGGGAGGGUCUCAUUCUUUAAGGUCUCUGGCGUGCUGUUCCAGAGUUUACCCAUCAACAAUUCUUACUUUAAUUUUUUGGAGCCAGGGUCUCGCUCUGUCGCCCAGGCUGGAGUGCAGUGGUGCGAUCAUGGCUCACUGCAACCUCGACCUCCCGGGCUCAAGCCCGGCCUCCUCUGGCUUCAGCCUCCCCAAAAACAAAAAGUUAUUUUAACUUAACAGAAAUUGCUCAUAUUACAUUCUAAUCCCCUGUUUUCUGGAUUGGACUUUAGAGGAGAAGAAGGAGAUGCAAAGAGAAACUUGCUGCAUUCUAGAUUAACUCAUAGAACAAAUUAUUUCUGUCCUCCUAAAGAUAAUCCUUAAACUUUACUGGCUUAAAACUGGUGUGACAUUUCGCAUUAUAUGUGUAUUUUGCUUUAUAAAAUAUGUGCAUUCCUGAAAGCUUGUGUAUAAAUUGAAUUGUAAUAAACGACUACAGAGAGACUUGCCAUUUAA